CUCACUUUGUGUAAUAACACACACGUAUCGACACAUGUUCCGGGGUGCCCGCAAGGGUCGGUUAACAUGGGAUACGUGGAGGCUUAAC
rnacentral:sRNA from 1 species